rnacentral:rRNA from 1 species
GAUGAACGCUAGCGGCAGGCCUAAUACAUGCAAGUCGAACGGUGUCUUCGGACAUAGUGGCGCACGGGUGCGUAACACGUAUGCAACCUACCUUACAUUGGGGGAUAGCCUUUCGAAAGGGAGAUUAAUACCGCAUAAGACAGUAGCUGGGCAUCCAGCAGCUGUUAAAGAUUUAUCGAUGUAAGCUGGGCAUGCGUCCAAUUAGCUAGUUGGUGAGGUAACGGCUCACCAAGGCAAUGAUUGGUAGGGGAACUGAGAGGUCAAUCCCCCACACUGGCACUGAGAUACGGGCCAGACUCCUACGGGAGGCAGCAGUAGGGAAUAUUGGGCAAUGGACGCAAGUCUGACCCAGCCAUGCCGCGUGCAGGAUGAAGGCGUUAUGCGUUGUAAACUGCUUUUAUACAGGAAGGAACGACUCUUGCGAGAGGCAUUGACGGUACUGUAUGAAUAAGCACCGGCUAACUCCGUGCCAGCCGCCGCCGUAAGGC